UACGUAGGGUGCAAGCGUUGUCCGGAAUUAUUGGGCGUAAAGAGCUCGUAGGCGGUUUGUCGCGUCUGCUGUGAAAACGCGAGGCUCAACCUCGCGCCUGCAGUGGGUACGGGCAGACUAGAGUGCGGUAGGGGAGAUUGGAAUUCCUGGUGUAGCGGUGGAAUGCGCAGAUAUCAGGAGGAACACCGGUGGCGAAGGCGGUUCUCUGGGCCUUACCUGACACUGAGGAGCGAAAGCGUGGGGAGCGAACAGG
rnacentral:rRNA from 1 species